rnacentral:rRNA from 1 species
UACAGAGGGUGCAAGCGUUAAUCGGAAUUACUGGGCGUAAAGCGUGCGUAGGCGGUUAUGUAAGUCGGGUGUGAAAGCCCCGGGCUCAACCUGGGAAUUGCAUUUGAGACUGCAUAGCUAGGGUGCGGAAGAGGGAAGCGGAAUUUCCGGUGUAGCGGUGAAAUGCGUAGAUAUCGGAAGGAACACCAGUGGCGAAAGCGGCUUCCUGGUCCAGCACCGACGUUCAGGCACGAAAGCGUGGGGAGCAAACAGG